UACGGAGGAUGCAAGCGUUAUCCGGAAUUAUUGGGCGUAAAGCGUCCGUAGGCGGUUGAGUAAGUCAGUUGUUAAAGCGUGGAGCUUAACUCCAUAACGGCACUUGAAACUACUCGGCUAGAGUGCGAUAGGGGCAAGGGGAAUUCCCAGUGUAGCGGUGAAAUGCGCAGAUAUCAGGAGGAACACCGGUGGCGAAGGCGGGUCUCUGGGCCGAUACUGACGCUGAGGAGCGAAAGCGUGGGGAGCGAACAGG
rnacentral:rRNA from 1 species